CAGGGCCUUGACAUCCGGAUGGCGUAUGGGUAAUGCCAUAUUUCCUUCGGGACAUCCGAGACAGGUGGUGCAUGGUUGUCGUCAGCUCGUGUCGUGAGAUGUUGGGUUAAGUCCCGCAACGAGCGCAACCCCUGCCUUCUGUAGCCAGCAUGUAAGAUGGGAACUCAGGAGGGACUGCCCGGGAGAACCGGGAGGAAGGCGGGGAUGACGUCAAAUCAUCAUGCCCCUUAUGGCCUGGGCUACACACGUGCUACAAUGGCGUAAACAAAGGGAAGCGGACCCGCGAGGGCGAGCAAAUCCCAAAAAUAGCGUCCCAGUUCGGAUUGCAGUCUGCAACUCGAGUGCAUGAAGCUGGAAUCGCUAGUAAUCGCGGAUCAGAAUGCCGCGGUGAAUACGUUCCC
rnacentral:rRNA from 1 species